rnacentral:snRNA from 1 species
AAUACACUCUAGUGUUUGCUUCACAACACAGACAACAUUAGCAUGGCUCCUGAUUAAGGAUGACAUGCAAAUUUGUGAAGUGUUCUAUAUAUAU